ensembl:lncRNA
UGAGCACUGGUCUAGGCUAGACUGUCUGAAGCUCUGAACUCCACACAAGUGAUGUGAAGUGUAAUGCAGGCACAGGUGGGGAGAUGUGGCCGAAGCCUUUUUGACCUAGGACCAAGCAGCGCCUUAAAGAUUUGGUUUCACUGGGCCUUUCUGGCAAGAGUUUGUUGGAAUGGAGUAGCACUCGUCUCAAGAUGGAGCAUACAUUCUCCACUUAAUACAAUCCCCACCUGGCCUACUUCGUUCAUUUAUCUGACUCUUUCCUGUGUCUAUGACUCUUGUCAACUAAAAAAGACCAAAAAAAAAAAAAAAAGAAAGAAACC